CCUACGGGUGACAGCAGUGGGGGAUAUUGCACAAUGGGGGGAACCCUGAUGCAGCGACGCCGCGUGGGUGAAGGAGCGUUUCGGCGCGUAAAGCCCUAUUGGCAGGGAAGAAGAUGACGGUACCUGACCAAGAAGCCCCGGCUAACUACGUGCCAGCAGCCGCGGUAACACGUAGGGGGCCAGCGUUAUCCGGAUUUACUGGGUGUAAAGGGGGCGUAGACGGCAAUGCAAGUCAGGAGUGAAAGCCGGGGGCCCAACCCCGGGACUGCUGUUGAAACUGGAUGGCGGGAGUGCAGGAGAGGCAGGCGGAAUGCCUGGUGUAGCGGUGAAAUGCGUAGAUAUUAGGAAGAACACCGGUGGCGAAGGCGGCCUGCUGGACUGUGACUGACGUUGAGGCCCGAAGGCGUGGGGAGCAAACAGGAUUAGAUACCCUUGUAGUC
rnacentral:rRNA from 1 species